rnacentral:lncRNA from 1 species
CAGAGAGAAGAAAUAGCAUGCUAAUGAAAAUGGCCUUGGAAACAAGAGACCGGAGGGUUGCAGUGGACAAAAUUACAUCUGUAAGAGGUUGAGUUUAAGGGAGCUGGGCAGCCCUGGAGGUAAAGGACUAGGGCUCAGGGCAGAAAGCCCGUCUGGCCUGAAGUGACUAAGACCUUGGGAGCCUCCUGCACAGAGAGGGAGGCUCUGGGGGAGGAAAAAGGGAGGAGACACAGAGCUGAGACUAAACUUUCUGGGCCACCUGCAUCUAAGAGGUGACGGGAAGAAGAGGGUUUGGUGAGGAGGCACAUGAAGAAGAGGAGGUGAGCAAGCCCCCUGAACGCCACGGAAACAACAGGGAGGAAGAAUUUCAGAAAGCAGAAAGGGGACCAUCAGCGAUGCCAAUGGCUGCAGGGAGGCCCAGAAGACAGUGGAUUUGUUUUAAGGAACGCCUUCUGGAUUUGGCCUUGGGCUAGAGUAAUAUUCUUGGAGCCCACAAACCCUAAGGCAUUGUUUUAUAAUUGCCAUUCAGCUCUUCUAAGCACUUUGCGAAAUGUGGGGCGAAACAGCUCUGGCCCUGCACGGAUUGUACAAGCAACAUGGAACAAAGCAACAAAGGAAAAUUAGAGGGAAGAAUGGUCUCAACUCCUGAGGCUGGCAACUUCUUAAUCCAAGCCUUCUAAUAACAACCACAGAGGAAUAUUUAAGUGUCUUGCAUGCCCCUUCAUUUCUUCCCUCUACUGCUUGUUUUGUGACCCAGAAAAUUUUACCAUCCUUGCAAGAAUAAAGGAGUGUCAGGUUUUCUUGCAGUAGAGAUGCUAUUCCUCAUCAAGGGAAAUGGAAACCAGAUUAAACUUUGUUCUGCAAUUUAAAAACAUAUCUCAAAUGAAUGCCAACAAAAAUUUCCCUGGCUCUAGUUGAAUUGCUUGUUUGUUUCUUUGUUUUUAAUGGUGUGCAAAGCAAACUGCUAGGGUAGCCCCUGGCUGCAAAAACCCUGAGAGGAUCCACAGAUCUUGUCAUACACUGGAUGGUCAGGGGAACGAAGCCCUGGGCUUUGCAUCAUCUUCCCCCACUUUAGUGCAAUUUGCCCUCAGCACACCGAGAAAAUGGAAAGUCAGCUUCUUAUGCUCAUACCAUUGUUUUCCGAAAUCUCAGUUCUAUAACUCACCUAUUGUGAACGCAAAAUAUAGGUUCACUUAACGUACAUUUGCAUGUAUGCUGGAGAAAGAAGAUGCCUAAAUUUGCAUGAUGCCUUAGAACACAGAAUCACAGGCUUGAUCUCCUUUAAUCCUUAUCCCUACUGUGUGAAGUAUCAUGACCCAAAGUUUACAGAUGAAGAUGAGGUUCAGAGAUGUUGAGACAUGGAGGAAGUCAAUGUCAAAGCCAGGACUUGAAGCAAGGUUAAAUUCCCCAGCAAGCCUACACCUACUUAACCCCAUGAUGUUGUCUCCAUAUCUGUAAUAUCGGGAACUUAAGAUUUGUUAUAAUUCAUAGUUACGGAAAGAUAGAUUUUAAAGUUUAACUCGCUAUAAAAAUGAAGCUUUCAAUGACUGGAGCUUACCUGAUACUAGCUAUGAUAUUAGAUGGCUUACGCACAUUAUUACACUUAACAAAGAUUCUGAGAAAAGAAAUAUCUUAGGGUGAAAGGCAGGGAGCUCAUCUUGAGGUAGGAAAGAGCUAAGGGUCUGUUGCAGGAUGCUACUGAUGGUCCACAGGAAAGAAUCCUUUUGGGUGGGACACAAAAUCUUGACUCUCAAAGGCUCAGAGCCACCUCUGGACCUCUGAGAGAUCUAUGAGAUGAAUGAAAAAGUGAGGCCACCUAGCUGUAACUGAGCUGUAUGAGAUGAUGGGUGGGGGAGGGGCAUCAAGGGCUCCUCAUGAAGGCCACUGGGUGGUGGGAAGGAAAAAGCUCUGCCACCAGGGUUCCAAGGGGCCU